UGUAAAGCAAAAAUACAACAGGACUUCAUAACCAUUCAAUAAUUGAGAGGAAAAGCCUAACCUCGUGUCUUUAAAGCCAGGAGUCCUCUUUGAUCUUGAACUUUUCGGCUAUAUCUGGUCUGAUAUUUUGCUUCUACAUUGACUUGGUAUUCUUGGGCUUCUGACCUUUUAUUCUUCUCUCAUCCACAGUCUCAAACUCAUAUCUUGGACCUGGUACUUAAUGUUACUCCUCUGAUGUUGAGUUUAGUUUCUCAUCUUUAGUUUCCAUUUGCCCUCUCUCCUCAGACAAGGGCUAACCACUCCCAUUAUAAACCCAGUCCCAUCAAGCUUGGUUGCUUUGGCUCUGAAUAAAUAAAUGUAAUCAGAGCAACUAUUUAUUUCAUUUCUUGGAAAUAAGCACUUUAAUUUGUUUCUCCUCAGUGUGAUAAAUUGUACCCUCAUUCAGGCACUGUGGGAAGCACACUUCUAAGAUGGCACCUAACAAUCCUUGCCCUCCUGCAUUCAUACCCCUCUCUGUGAGUGUGGGCUGAACCUAUGACCUGCUUCUAAUGAAUUACAUAGGACAAACAUGAUGGGAUGCCGCUUCUGAGAUUAGGUUACAAAAGGUUAUAACUUCUGUCUUGUUACUUUUUUCCUUGCUUUGAUGAGUGAACUGCCAUGUUGGAGAGGCCCAUGUGACACAGAGGUUGUAGUGGCCCUUGACCAAAACCAGCUGGGAGCAGAGGUCUUUAGACUAACAGCUCUGAAGGAACUGAAUCCUGUUAACAGCCAAUGAGAAGGCCUCUGAUUUAGUCCACUGGAAUGAUUAGACUGGAGGAACUAAGUAAAAAUGACUUGGAUCAGAAAAUACUGGAGACAGAGAAACCAGUUAAAGCCUAUUGAUGUGCUGGUGAUUUGAGAUAUAGAGCAUCUCUGUGAAAUAAAACGUACUGAAAAACUUCAGCCCUCAGUGCUUCUCCCCAUGUUACAAGAUACUGGCAUCAGAAAAGACCACAAAAUGAAUACCAGUCUUUACUACUUCCUUGCUUUCCAAAUCCCUACUGGGAAGUAAGAUUUAGCAGUGUGAGAGUAAUUAAGCAGAAUACCUCCUUCCUCCAGAUACCAACACAGAUGCAUAAGAAGACAUAGCUGAAUUUUUGAGCAACAGAUGUUAACUUACAAAGGACAAGAUAAGCUGUACUGUGUUCUUUGCAACAGAAGUCAAAUAUCCCAACAUGAGAAGAGCCUCUGUGCAUAUAGGCAAAGAUAACCAACUGUAGCUAAAGGCUCCCGUGUACUUUCAGUACUCAAAAUAGUCAUGCAUAUGGGGAUUCUGUCAGUCAACACCAUAUCUGCUGUUGAUGUUGGUAACAGUGACCAUCAGAAACUUCAGGAAGUGAAAGAAGAUCUCCCAUAGAAAAGGAAACCAUGCAGAACACAGAGAAGAAUCCAAAAAGGACAUGUCUGUUGGCAAACAACUUGGGAGAGAACCAGAAGUGAACCCAGUUGCUUGUGUCAUUAUUUUGCCUUAGCCUCCAAGAGCCUGAACAGCCCAAGGAGGACAAGACAGUCUUGACCUAAGGGAAAGAUAUGCUUUAUUUACAAGAAAACAUUA
rnacentral:lncRNA from 1 species